AAAGAUGUGAAAUGUCAUCAACAAUAAUCUUCUUUUUAACAUCUUGGAAACAAUUAAACUCCAAGAAACUAUAAAAAAUUGAAUAAUAGAAGAAGAAAAUAUUACGGGAAUGAGAAUAAGCUUCCAAAUAAAAUAAAUUACAAUUAGUAACUAAUUGUUUGUGGAAGUUCUCGACCAUUAUUAUUACCAAAUGGACACUCACCGCUCAAUAGACCUGGCAAGUGAGGCCCAGUCCCGCGGGCCGGACCGGCACGUCCGUAGAAAUAUGGGUCAUGGAUCGCAAUAUUUCAGUCCAAAAAAAUGCAGGCAAUUUUAGCCCGGCCCGUGGCCCCUGACUUAUUUUUUUUAAAAUAAAAUGUUGUUACUUGUGGGUUAUAAGGUUUGAACAUAAGACUUAUAAGUAAAUAAAUAAAAAUUCAAACCAACUAAGCUACAACAACUGUUUGUUUUUAAUGCAAUCUUCAAUAUAUUGUUUCUUUACUUUUGUUCAAAUUUUAUUAUUCUUAAAAAGUAAAACCUAAAUUGUGCCUAAUUUAUAAUAUUUAUGAGCAUUACCAUUUUUUAAAAAAAUUUAAUUAAUUGAGAUAUGUAGUUAAUAAAGGCAAGUGUAUAGUAGUAAAGUAAUUAUAAAAUUUUGCAAAAAAAAAAAAUAAAGUUACCGGGUCAAUACCUUAAAGUCAAGUAUAUGCUAUACCUUAAAGUCUCUUUCUAAAUUAGACCAGUGGGGAGGAGAGAGAGUUUAGUAGGCAAUAAUCAAUCUUCUUCUUCCUUUAUUGAUUAAUAUAAUUAUUUGAGACUUAGAUUGGCUGAUUAAAACAAUUUUAAUCAGAAAAGCCAGCCUGUUACAGCCCUUAACUGGAAGAACACCAAUGCACAGAUUUUCUAAACAGGCCAGGCCCACAAACAAUAACAAUUAUACUGACCCGGUGACUAAUUAGGCAAACUCAACACACAAGUACAGGAACAUGAAGGACUCAACACACAAGUACAAUUAUUUGUGGACAGGUUUGUAAAGUAAUUAUAAGAUUUUGCAAAAAAAAAUAAAUAAUAAGGAAUAAGCCCACGGGUCGACCCGAUUCGGCCCAACUCGAGUCACGGGUCUCACAAUGUCAGCCCAUCAAAAUUUAGGCCAUUUUAACUGACCCUCUAUUAGCCCGGCCCGUUCUCGGUCCGGCCCGACCCACCUGUUUGCCAGGUCUACCGCUCAAGGUUUGGAAUUUCCUCGCCAACGGAAAAACAUUAACGAUCGACACGCUGACUCUCAUAGAUGAUAUCCCGAAAUAUGAAU
rnacentral:lncRNA from 1 species